GACGUAGGGUGCGAGCGUUGUCCGGAUUUAUUGGGCGUAAAGAGCUCGUAGGCGGUUCGUCGCGUCGGCUGUGAAAACCCGGAGCUCAACUCCGGGCCUGCAGUCGAUACGGGCGGACUUGAGUGUUGCAGGGGAGACUGGAAUUCCUGGUGUAGCGGUGAAAUGCGCAGAUAUCAGGAGGAACACCGGUGGCGAAGGCGGGUCUCUGGGCAACUACUGACGCUGAGGAGCGAAAGCGUGGGGAGCGAACAGG
rnacentral:rRNA from 1 species